rnacentral:lncRNA from 1 species
GAAGCCCGACGCGACCAUAACAGCGAACCCACACGGCACAAGAAGAUCGGCUCUUGUAACGUGCGGUAUUUCACGAAGUACAAAUAUCACAUGCGCUCGAAGCGUGGUACGACGAUAAAACUCUGUUCUUUAUUUAAUGCCUGAAUGAUCCGUUCGUGAUUACAAUUGAGAUUCACUUUAUUUUGGUUUGCUACGAAAACGAAAAGAUAGAUUUGACGAAUCAUUCAUGAAACCAGUGAGUACUUGUGUUAUUUUUAAUUUCGUCGUAGUUGGAAAGUAAGGAUUGUUAUUUCAGUAAGUUUAUAAGAAAAGUAAAAAAAGCGAAAGAUUUGAAGAAAGAAUAACACGUUGAGAAAUAAAUUGGGAGAGAGAGAAAAGGGAGAGAAAAAAGAGAGAAAAUAAAAGGUGGGACAACCCGUUUCCUCGUGUUUUUGUCUCCACGCGGGCGAUUCAAGAUGGCGGUAAAAGUGGUUAGCAGCUGCAGCGCUCAGGGAAGCACAGAGCGAGAGGAGGGGGGCUCUGGUGUAUUCUACGCUAGCGUAGUCAAUCCCAAAGCAGCCUCGAACGAGACUAAUACCGCUAGAGUAGUUUCCUCGAAUAAAGGAAAUAAUAAAGAAAAUAUAGGAGGCCAAAUUGUAAGCCAACAAUCCAAUGGAACUAAAGAGCGCAUGGUUUUCGAUUUUACGGAUAUCGGAGAUUGGCCAACGUUGGGACCUCAAGACAAAAAGACGACUGCUGUGACAAUUCAAAAACAAAA